GAGUACCGAUUGGGUGAAGGUGCAAUGGUGCAUACACACGACACGAACAUAUUCAAAUCAUCAUUAUGAAUUGAUCCAAGAUUCACUGCUAAGGUAUUUUGCCAACAUCUUCUUACCAUAGAAAAAUCGCUAAUUCCUAAAAGAGAGAAGGCAAACGCUUGCCUGCACCAAAAGUGCACAGACAAGAACGUUGGCCUGUUGUUCUAACUGAAGGAUUUAAAACGAAUGUUUCUGUUUAAAACAUCACAACGUUAUUUUAUUAUUAUUUUUUUUAUUAUUAUUUAGCCUAUAGAAUGACCGGUUUCAUCUAUAGUUUGAGGAUAGUUUAAAUUAGUUAAAAAAAAACAUUUGAUAUGUCCGUGCACCACCUGGGGCUCUGGCAGGGGCUUGACCACUUCCACUGGUAGGAGCCAUCUGGUAACAGGUGUUUUUUGUGUCCGGAGAUCCCUGCAGGAAAGGCAGCACAGAAUGAUGGAUUUUACCAGUGGAUUCAAAACCAACACUUCUCAUACUUCAAACAGACAGAGCUCUACCACCACUUCUCCCUCUGCAGAGAGCUGCUCCAGGUACCCUCCUCAUGUCAGCUCAAAGGAUAUUAAGGAGAAGACUUGGGGACCUUCUGCGUGAGAGUGGACCACUUGCUUCACAUGGCCCUUCGGAGGGACCCAGGCCAGAGGGCUCACUACCAGGCCCACUACGCCUUCAUCAAGGCCUUCCAACUCCCGGUGGGCUCCAGCAUCAUGGCCGCCUGUCGCCUCACCUAUGAUUCUGGCUCGUACGUUCUACUGAUUCUUGGAAGAAGAGGACAAAUGUCUUCCCACACAUCUGGUUGGUAUCUCAAUGGGAAUGUCCCAUUGAAAUUAAAAAACAAUUUUUCAAGGUAGUCCUGGCCAAGAGGCAGCAAAAAAGACAGCAAAAAGCAAAAGAGUUGUCAGUUGUUGGUGCACAGCGCCCCCCGGGGGACGGGAUGCGCCGAGGCAGAAGGUGUGGCGGAUAAGGGUGUUGCAGGAACCUGGGUCAGCGAUCUUCUGCUACACUGCAGUGGUACCUCUGAACGAGGGCUCCCCCUGGGGGACGUCAGGCGAGGGGCGACCAUCCAUCUGGACUACAAGACGCAUGAGAAAGGUACGUAACACAGUCAAUUGAAAAUUGUUUAUUCGAACCAAAUCAACACUUCAAGUGGGAUAUGUCAAGAGAAACUUAAUAUACAAAAUGAUCAUGUCGAAACGACCAAUUAUGUUGCAUCAAACCCAAUGUGUGAAUGGGUAUUGCUGAACCCAUUCUAUGGAAGGCUGACUCCUAUUUUAUCUAAUUUAUAAGACCUGCAUGACCUCGCUCUUGCAAACCAGGCCAGGGCCCGGGAGCGUGGCCUCUGGCUGCAAAAACAUCUGCAGGGUAAAGCUGCCGUGUACCCAUCACAUCUGAGACAGUAUGGACUGAAGCAGUUUCAUGUAUUGACUCCAUCAGUGUUUCUUUUGUUUAUUUUGGUUGGUUUGUAUUUGUUAAUUGCAACUACCCCUUAAUAGCAUAGCUUCUACAUAAUCGCAUUGCAUCAGUUUGAAUUCUUUUUUUUCGAAUAUUAUUAAUGGAAUGUGAAACAUUGGUGGAGUUGGUUUGAAGUGCAGAGUCGUUUUUGACAAAAUCCUUAAACGAUAUGUUGUCAUGACAACGGGGAAGCAUAUUUUGAAGAGUUCAUCAUAGAAUAAAAAUUGGUUACAGAACAGGACAUUGAGAUAUUAAGAUGUUCUUCGUCCCCUCUUGAUGUUCCCCGGAUGGAGGAAGGUUGUGGCUGCGUUAAAAACCCAAAUUUAAACAUCAGAUUUGCUUAGAAUAAACACAAGUAGAAUUGAUCAGAACACCUUCCCUGAGAGGCAUCAGAGCGCAGACGCUUUUAAAUGGGUGAGUUGUCAACACUUACUCAUUGUAUCGUUGGGCCCACGGCUUGCCUCCCAAGCUGCCUCCCCAAUCUGUUAUGUUCUCUCACUGCCUCUCAGAGCAUCAAACAAAAGCUACGCUCUCUCUCUCUCUCUCUCUCUCUCUCUCUCUCUCUCUCUCUCUCUCUCUCUCUCUCUCUCUCUCACCCUCUUUCUACCUCACGUUUCUUCUCUCGCUCUCGCUCUCUCGUCUCUACCUCCAGAAACGUUCUUGGAAAGCCGUCAGCAGGCUCAUCCGAAGCAUCUGUCCAUUUCGACGUCGCACCAUGAGGAACUCUGAAACGUGGACCCCGGUUUUGAGGCCUACCUCGUACACCGGCGGGCUGUUUACUCCACAAGCACGCGGUUUUAUAGAUGGACACUAUUCAUCGCCCUUUGCUCUUACUGACCCACUUUCUAACGAUCCGUCUCUGUGUCGUUAGGGAGUCCGUCCUGUAUUCGUGGACAGGCCUACAUGGCCUCCAUUUUAAAGGGGUGAUAUUAUGCCACCAGGUAUGAGUCUGACUAGCCAUUACAGGCCUUUCCCUGUGUUUGGUGACCUCAGUAGUGGGCGUGUCCACCUAGAUGUAUGUUGGAUAGACAAGCAACAAUUUGCCACAGUCCACUAGGUAGGCUGGUGGAAUGAUCUAUCCAGCAUAAAUCUAGGUUGACAUACCAACUAAUGAAGUCAAUAGGGAACAGGGAAGGCUGAUUUUCAAACGGCUUGUAACGGCCAAUCACCCCCACACCUGCUGGAAUGAUAUCGCCCCUUUUAAAUCGCAUGUCGUGUUGUAUUUGACCACCGUACCGCAUGCACCUUCAGGAGGCCGGCGUGCCCUGCUGACAGAGAUGAGCUCUCAGAAGAGAGAGACUACAGCUCGCUCAAACUGAAGGCUGACGUCGUCGUUGAUUCUAUCUCCUGCGCUGAAAUGUUCGACCGGCUCAGGGCAGAUCAACAUUUCAAUGGAUAUGUCGCUGUCCAUCAGGCAGCUUGGCGGGCAGAGUGGACAGGAGUCUAUUUCCUGAGGCCAUAUUCUCUGUGUUUCCUACUCCGCUCUACUGCUGGAAAAAGUGAGUUUUGUGGUGCUUGCAAGGAUACAGACGAGACCAGGUCCACAUCACAUCAAUAGUACAGGAACAGGUUAAAUAAGAUACAUUUAGAUGCAUUGAGAACAUUGUGUUACAAAUGUUGUUGUUUUUGUCUUAUCAUUUAUUGAGCAAAAGUCUGAACCGAGAUGGACCAAACAGCGACUGGUUAUUUGCUGCCACCUUAAUGAAAAAUUGCCCCACUGUCCAGCGUUACUUCUCCUUUAGAACGAAAAUAUAGCAUAAGCAUACCACAAAUGCUGUCAGUACUCUUUGCAUACAACGUAGAGCCAGCAUACCCCAGCAGGGGGCAGCACCUACCAGAUUAACGUCUGGCAUAAAGGGUUUUCACGUCCGAUGUCAAUGCAAAGCCAGGGUAGCAUUUUAUAAAUCGAGUUGACCUAUGAAAACAAUAGAAUUAUGCCUAUGAAUAGUUUUGUCCAACUGAUGAUGUGUUUUGUAAGAUUAUUAAAAAAAACGGAUUAUGCAUACAAAUUAAGAAUUCUCUUACUUAUUUAUUUUAUUUUAUGUGCCUUACACCAAACCUUCUUUGUCAAUGUAAAUGAGGGCAUUGAUGAAAAUAAGGAUAUUCCUAGAUAAUGAGGCAAAACGAAUUUCAAUAAUGAAAACAGUUCAACACAGGGGUCGCUCCCCGAGUGUUAAAUGAAAGACGAGCACCCGAUUGAAAGAGCACCUGAGCCAAGGCGAAAAACACCCAUUAUUAUAUUUGUUAUUUCAUAUUUAGAAAUCGCACGCGUCACUUUCCUCCUUUACCCGACGCAUCUUCGUACCGCCACAACCGUCUCAUCCAAUCUCCAGCCUCCUCAUAAAUCAGCGUGUCCUUUGGUUUCAGCCCGGCCAGCGUAUACAACUGUCUACCUUCAGAUAUUAAUAAGGCUGACAAUAUGUUGGUCAGUCUGCCAGCGAUGCCCUGUGCUGUGCGUGUGACUCAUCAGUCCGGCUGAUAAUCAGACCGGGAGGAGCCCUAAGAGACGCCCUUCCCGCCAAAGCUUCCUCCAAAAACACUUUAUUUAGACCAUCAAUGACAAGGGGGGGCCGAAACCACACACUGAGUGUGUGUGUGUGUGUGUGUGUGUUUGCGCCCUUAAUGUG